rnacentral:sRNA from 1 species
GCACUGGCAAAAUCCAGUGCCGGGAUUGAGACCCCGUUGACUACAAAGGCGCAUUUACCGCGCAAGCGGUUUUUUU